GCCGACCAUCUUGUGAAGGACUCCUUUUGUUCGACAAAAGGAGAGUGCUCUCGAUGAUUUUUUCUGCACCCCACACCUCUUAUUCGGCCCUUCUUUGAAUAGGUUUGGAUGAGGAUCAAAUCUGGUAGAGUUUGAAUUCAAAAUGGUUUUGAAUUCGAACUCAAUUUGAUCCCUAUCCAACCUCUUUCCUUUGUGUUCGGCAACCUUAAAAUGAUAUGAUUUUUGUGCACCACUUCUUCAGGGCUUUUUAAUGUGUGAGAGGCUUGAGAAAGAGAGGAGUUGAACCUCUUAGGGGCAUGAGGAUCUGGGUG
rnacentral:lncRNA from 1 species